GUACGAUCAUACUUGGCCGUAAGCACCCGUUCUCAGCCGACCACGGAAGUUAAGCGGUUAUAGGCUGUGUUAGUACUUGGCUGGGUGACCGCCUGGGAACUCACAGUGUCGUACU
rnacentral:rRNA from 1 species